UUUAUCUUGAGAAGCUUCAUCGAUCCUCUUCCAGUCCCCACCCUUGCAAGACCAAUGGCCAGAAAAGCAUCCACCACUCUCACAAGCAAAAGCACCAUCCUUCUCUGCUGCUAUCAUCAAAGAUGCUCUCAACUCCACACUUUCUCUGGAAGCAGACUCAGAAUUGAGCAUAACCUCACUAGAUCUUUGAUCAUUGUAAUCACCCAGGUGAAGUUGAUGCCAAGUGAAACCUGUGCAUGAUCCAAAAUCAAAUUCAGUAUAACAGAUUGAAAAUGCCCCCAGUAUACAGCUUGCCCACCUCCUCCCUUUCACUAAACAAAGCUACAAGACAAAAUGUUGCAGUGACAUAAAUCCCAAGGCAGUUACAUUAGCUUAGUACUUAAAUAGAUAAAAUUGACUAAUAGCUUAAAAUAUUAAAAAAAAAAAAGAUGAAAAUCAAAACGAGUAUUUCAGCACAUGCAAAAUAGCACAAAGCUUGCACAGGCAAUUAAAAGGCAAUAAAUGUAUUGGGAAAUCUUAUGUGAUAAGAGUUACUUAAAACCAUGUUUCUUUUCCUUUUUGACUUUAAAGAGCAAACAUAAAUAUAGUAAUAAUAAUAAUAAUAAAAGAUAAUUUUGCAAAAAUAAUAAUAAGAGUAAAAUGAAAAUUGAACACCAGAUCAAAGCAAAUUACAUAAUUACCAAGAAUAACAAAGCAAACACCUCAUCCAUCAGAACAUUUAUAAACAUACUUUUGUAUAAGACUACAUGGAUCAACACUGCUAAGCUUCCAACCAAUAAAAGAUUACUAUUAACUACAAAAGGAAUUAACCCAGAAAUAUAUGAUAGAUACAAACAACAAAAAUACCUUUACCUAAAAAAAAAAGAAAAAAAAAAGAUAUUAC
rnacentral:lncRNA from 1 species